rnacentral:ncRNA from 1 species
AUAAAUGCUCCACCGGGAGUCAAACGCUAAGCGGUUUUUACAUUUCAGUAGGUCUUUGAAGAAAUGUGGGAAGUCGUUUUUUUUAUU